UUUCAAAUGGAAUCCUUCUAUAGAUUUUGCCUAAUAAUAUGGUUGGGAUAGGGUAGCAAUAUUUAGGAUACACCUUGGCAAUCAAUUGAAUACAACUUCUCUUAUCUCCAAUGUUUUUUACUACAUAUCUUGUUUUUAUGGGCCAUUUAUAUUUUGGAGUGUGGUGUAUCGCCUCUAGCCAAAUCAGCAAAAUUAGCACCUUAUAGCGCCUCUUAGCCAUCCUCUGGGCGCUAAAAGGGGGCGCCAUUGAGUCUCCGCCAACACAUUAACGAGCGAUAUUAAAUGGCUUGCUGAUGGGCUUAUGGAGAUGAAGACUUGCUGAUGGGCUUAUGGAGAUGGGCUUAAGGAAUGAAGAAAUAGUUAUAACAAAUUGACAAGUUGUUAUAACCAUCAUCCGGGUUAAUUGGGUUCAAGUUCAAGGUUCAGAGUCUCUAUAUAAGCGAUACCCUAAAGUCAUCAUAGAUGAUGAAUUUGGUCCGGAUAUUUCUUCGUCUGCGCCACUCUAAUUAUCAUCUCUCUUUCUUCCUCAUUUAGGGUUUCACUCUGUGAGUUAAAGAUCUUGUGUUAAGAUCUCUUUUACAUCAGAUUCAUUAUGUUUGAGUGUUGCAGAUCAUCGUGAUGAUGAUCUGCUUGUGAGGGUUGUUUGAGAGUUGUUGCAAUUCUUGUUAUUUCUCUAGUUUGAAUUUUUAGUGGUUAAAUAAGAAAUCAUUUUUUGAUCCAUUUGCUUUGACAUGGUAUCAGAGCCCCAAGGCUCUGGUCUGUGGUAUCGAGUGAUUCUCCUGUUCUUACACUGGUGUUAUUGAUUAGCUUGUGAUCUAGGGUUACAGAUUUGGAACCCUUGCUAGCAUAUCUUUUAUUCUCAACACACAUGUCCGAAAUUCCCCAUAGUAGCACCUGGUGCUCUGUUCUUGUUCGGUUAAUCCCACAAAACCCUAUAUUUCUCCCCUCACAAACAUCAACAAAAUGUCAUCCCAACAGAUCCAAUCCCUCUCCGUACAAAACAUCGCCACCGUUCGCUGGAGAACAAGAAUAUGAUCUGAUGAUCGUAUCCUCGCCGUAUGUAGC
rnacentral:lncRNA from 1 species